UACGUAGGGUGCAAGCGUUGUCCGGAAUUAUUGGGCGUAAAGAGCUCGUAGGCGGUCUGUCGCGUCGGAUGUGAAAAUCCAGGGCUCAACCCUGGACCUGCAUUCGAUACGGGCAGACUAGAGUUCGGCAGGGGAGACUGGAAUUCCUGGUGUAGCGGUGAAAUGCGCAGAUAUCAGGAGGAACACCGGUGGCGAAGGCGGGUCUCUGGGCCGAUACUGACGCUGAGAUACGAAAGCUAGGGGAGCGAACGGG
rnacentral:rRNA from 1 species